GGUCAGAUGGCCGAGCGGUCUAAGGCGCUAGCUUAAGGUGAUUCUUCGGAACACUCUGUUCGCUAGUCUUCGGGCGUGGGUUCGAAUCCCACUCUGAUCA